CUGACCUCACACUUCACGGGGUAGGUGAGAGCUCAGCAGUGACCUUGCUAGGGAUUCGCUCCUUGUUACUGUGGUCAAAUGAAGCUUCACCAUGACCCUUAAAGUGGCCUUUAUGUGAACUUGGUUUCCAGCUGGGUACAAAUGAUUUUGCGCUCAGGAGGAGGACGAGGCUGAAUGUGAGCAGAAACAAGCACCUCUAGGCAUGUGACAGAAGCACAACAGGGGUCUGUAAUGUUUUGCUGUGGGGAUUUCCACCUUUGGUUUUUCACCGAUCCUUUAAGGAAAAUGGCUUGCGAGUGAGGAGUGACUACAGCUUGAUAAGUGGCAAAGCAUUAUUUCGCUGAAAGCCCUUAGAGGCAAAGAUGCUUCAUCUAGGCCUGGACCAAAGAAACGUGACACGGCGCUUGUUCUGAGGCCAUUCCACAACUCUCCUGCCAACAUUUAAAACACUUCCUGUUAGACAAGCGGAUGGCAGGAAGUUGCACAUGCAGAGGCGCUUCAGUCGUAAGUAAUAAACACC